CGGUCCUAAGGUAGCGAAAUUCCUUGUCGGGUAAGUUCCGACCUGCACGAAUGGCGUAACGACUUCCCCACUGUCUCGACCAGGAGCUCGGCGAAAUUGCAGUACGAGUAAAGAUGCUCGUUAAGCGCAGAAGGACGAAAAGACCCCGGGACCUUUACUAUACCUUGGUAUUGGCGUUAGGCGCGGAUUGUGUAGCAUAGGCGGGAGGCUUCGAAGCGUGGGCGCCAGCUCAUGUGGAGCCGCAAGGUGAAAUACCGCUCUGUUCUCGUUUGACGUCUAACCUCGACAAGUCAUCCUUGUCAGGGACAGUGCCUGGCGGGUAGUUCAACUGGGGCGGUUGCCUCCCAAAGAGUAACGGAGGCGCUCAAAGGUCCGCUCAGCCCGGUUGGCAAUCGGGUGUCGAGUGUAAUCGCACAAGCGGGCUUGACUGCGAGGACGACGGUCCGAGCAGGGACGAAAGUCGGAGAUAGUGAUCCGGUGCCGGCGCACGGGCGCGGCAUCGCUCAACGGAUAAAAGGUACUCCGGGGAUAACAGGCUGAUCAUUCCCAAGAGUCCAUAUCGACGGGAUGGUUUGGCACCUCGAUGUCGGCUCGUCGCAUCCUGGGGCUGGAGCAGGUCCCAAGGGUUCGGCUGUUCGCCGAUCAAAGCGGCACGCGAGCUGGGUUCAGAACGUCGUGAGACAGUUUGGUCUCUAUCCUCUGCGCUCGUUGGAAUCUUGAGGAGGCCUGCCCAUAGUACGAGAGGACCUGGGUGGACGAACCUCUGGUAUGCCGGUUGUCGCGCCAGCGGCACGGCCGGUUGGCUACGUUCGGGAGGGAUAACCGCUGAAAGCAUCUAAGCGGGAAGCCUGCUCCAAGAUUAGGAUUCCGUACGGUCUUGAACCGUUGUAGCCCGCAUGUUGAACACGUGUUUGAUAGGCCGGAGGUGGAAGCCCCGUGAGGGGUGGAGCCGACCGGUACUAACGGGCGAUGGCGACACAAC
rnacentral:rRNA from 1 species